UGAAGACGCAGGGAGAAUGUGACAUCUGCAAGCCAAGGAGAGAGGCUGCAGGAGAAACCAGCUCUGCUGACACUUUGAUCUCAAGCUCUGGCCACCAGAACUGUGAGCAAAUAAGUGUCUGUUGUUUAGGGCACCCUGUCCAUGGCACCUUGCUCCGAUAGCCCCAGGAAACGAAUCCACAGAGGAGGAAGCCGAGGUUGGGAAAGGUGGAGGGACUUGCCCAAGUCACACAAACGACAACUCAGCAGAGCUGAGAAUUGGCACCCAGGGCAACUGGAGUCCAUCCUGAGCUUGUCACUGCUGGGCUCUGAGACCUCCUGGUGAAGAAGGACAGUGGCAGAGACAGCCCGACCCAGAGAAACCCAGCAACGCUACUUUCUAAGGGCAUUUUUCCCUCUCAUUUGGAAUCCUGAGCCUCCUGCUCGUCCUGUAGGCCACACCCAGCAAACAGGUGGGUUUCAUUUCCUGGAGAAACCACAGAUGGAAAGUCCCAGCCAUGGGCUCCGUGUGACCUGGUGGCCUUAAGAAGCUCCCCCCACCGCCCCUCAGCCCUUUAAUCAUUUACAAAGCAGGGCCACACAGAGCAUCUAUUUUCUUUCUGGAACAUCAGAGCUGGCUGGGAACUGGGAGAAGAGCUGGAGCAACAGCCUGCAUCCAUUUCCUCUUGCUGCAAUAACAACUGAUCACAAGAUGGAGUCUCACUCUGUCAACCAGGCUGGAGUGCACUGGC
rnacentral:lncRNA from 1 species